GGGAUAUUGGACAAUGGGGGGAACCCUGAUCCAGCGACGCCGCGUGAGUGAAGAAGUAUUUCGGUAUGUAAAGCUCUGUCAGCAGGGAAGAAAGCAAUGACGGUACCUGACCAAGAAGCCCCGGCUAACUACGUGCCAGCAGCCGCGGUAAUACGUAGGGGGCAAGCGUUAUCCGGAUUUACUGGGUGUAAAGGGAGCGUAGACGGCUGUGCAAGUCUGAAGUGAAAGCCCGUGGCUCAACCGCGGAACUGCUUUGGAAACUGUAUAGCUUGAGUACUGGAGAGGCAGGCGGAAUUCCUAGUGUAGCGGUGAAAUGCGUAGAUAUUAGGAGGAACACCAGUGGCGAAGGCGGCCUGCUGGACAGAAACUGACGUUGAGGCUCGAAAGCGUGGGGAGCAAACA
rnacentral:rRNA from 1 species